AGCGAAAUAAUAGUAGCGAAGUUCCUGAUGUCACACUGCCAAGAAAAGCUUCUAGUGAGAAAACAACUGCCCGUACCGUAAACCGACACAGGUAGUCGAGGAGAGUAUCCUAAGGUGAGCGAGCGAACUCUCGUUAAGGAACUCGGCAAAAUGACCCCGUAACUUCGGGAGAAGGGGUGCUGACUUCGGUCAGCCGCAGUGAAUAGGCCCAAGCGACUGUUUAUCAAAAACACAGGUCUCUGCAAAAUCGUAAGAUGAAGUAUAGGGGCUGACGCCUGCCCGGUGCUGGAAGGUUAAGAGGAUGGGUUAGCUUCGGCGAAGCUCAGAAUUGAAGCCC
rnacentral:rRNA from 1 species